AUUGAACGCUGGCGGCAUGCCUUACACAUGCAAGUCGAACGGCAGCACGGGAGCAAUCCUGGUGGCGAGUGGCGAACGGGUGAGUAAAGCAUCGGAACGUGCCCAGUCGUGGGGGAUAACGUAGCGAAAGUUACGCUAAUACCGCAUACGAUCUGUGGAUGAAAGCGGGGGACCGUAAGGCCUCGCGCGAUUGGAGCGGCCGAUGUCAGAUUAGGUAGUUGGUGGGGUAAAGGCUCACCAAGCCGACGAUCUGUAGCUGGUCUGAGAGGACGACCAGCCACACUGGGACUGAGACACGGCCCAGACUCCUACGGGAGGCAGCAGUGGGGAAUUUUGGACAAUGGGCGCAAGCCUGAUCCAGCAAUGCCGCGUGCAGGAUGAAGGCCUCGGUUGUAACUAGCUUUGUUACGAACGAACGGUGAGCUCUAAUAAGACUUGCUAAUGACGGUACCGUAAGAAUAAGCACCGGCUAACUACGUAGCCAGCAGCC
rnacentral:rRNA from 1 species